CCUUCCAGUGCAGAUUUGUGCAAAGAAUCUAUAUAAUAACAGUUCUGCAAUUACUUUAACGUGGCUAUAGCUCAUACAUGAAUGCUGAAGAUUUAAGAAAAAGUGACUUUAAAAGAGAGCGUUGGUGAGGAAUAUGGAUAUGAAUGAAACAAAGUUACAAUGACUGUCUCCCCUGCACCACCAUUCACUUCUCCAGUCAGGCCUGCCACUGGGGGGGAAGAGGCUGGCACAACCUGAGAUUUUCAUAGAGAAAAGGCCGCCACCCAACGGUGAUCUUGAAUCAUAGAGAGGCUGCAUCCAGGCAAGUCUCUGAUGGAUCUCAGAACCAUGGUGGCCCCUGUGAGAAGUCCCCUGGCUGAAAGAAAUCUGCUCCUGAGAAGGGAAUAAAGCAAGUUUUGGGACUAUUUCUUUCUCUUGACAAAAAACGCCCUGUAUUUACUCGUUGACCGCAACACAUAAAUAAUUUCCUAUGAAAUGUUAAGCAGCUUAUAACAACCCAUAUUCACAUUUGUUGUUAUGCGGCGACCUCUAGAGGCCGUAGUUAUU